rnacentral:SRP_RNA from 1 species
GCUGGGCGUGGUGGUGUGUGCCUAUAGUCCCAGCUACUCUGGAGGCUGAGGUGGGAGGAUCACUUGAGCCCAGGAGUUCUGGGCUGUAGUGCGCUAUGCCGAUUGGGUGUCCGCACUAAGUUUGGCAUCAAUAUGGUGACCUCCCAGGAGCAGGGGACCACCAGGUUGCCUAAGGAGGGGUGAACCAGCCCAGGUUGGAAACGGAGCAGGUCAAAACUCCCAUGCUAAUCAGUAGUGGGAUCGCGCCUGUGAAUAGCCACUGCACUCCAGCCUGGGCAACAUAGCGAGACCCUAUCUCU